rnacentral:rRNA from 1 species
UGGGGAAUAUUGGGCAAUGGGCGCAAGCCUGACCCAGCAACGCCGCGUGAGGGAAGAAGGCUUUCGGGUUGUAAACCUCUGUCCUUGGUGACGAAACAAAUGACGGUACCAUAGGAGGAAGCCCCGGCUAACUACGUGCCAGCAGCCGCGGUAAUACGUAGGGGGCAAGCGUUGUCCGGAAUUACUGGGCGUAAAGGGUGCGUAGGCGGUUUUUUAAGUCAGAUGUGAAAUACCCGGGCUUAACCUGGGGGGUGCAUCUGAUACUGGGGAACUUGAGUGCAGGAGAGGAAAGUGGAAUUCCUAGUGUAGCGGUGAAAUGCGUAGAUAUUAGGAGGAACACCAGUGGCGAAGGCGACUUUCUGGACUGUAACUGACGCUGAAGCACGAAAGCGUGGGGAGCGAACA